AGCAGCCGCGGUAAUUCCAGCUCCAAUAGCGUAUAUUAAAGUUGCUGCAGUUAAAAGCUCGUAGUUGAAUUUCGGGAUCAAUAUGUCGGUCGUGCCUCGGUACGCACUGGCUUAUUGGUUUCUCCCUUCUGACGAACCAUGAUGUCAUUAAUUUGGUGUCUUGGGAAAUCAGGACUGUUACUUUGAAAAAUUAGAGUGUUUAAAGCAGGCUCACGCUUGAAUACAUUAGCAUGGAAUAAUGAAAUAGGACGUUUGAUUCUAUUUUGUUGGUUUCUAGGAUCGACGUAAUGAUUAAUAGGGAUAGUUGGGGGCAUUAGUAUUCAAUUGUCAGAGGUGAAAUUCUUGGAUUUAUUGAAGACUAACUACUGCGAAAGCAUUUGCCAAGGAUGUUUUCAUUAAUCAAGAACGAAAGUUAGGGAUCGAAGACGAUCAGAUACCGUCGUAGUCUUA
rnacentral:rRNA from 1 species